rnacentral:rRNA from 1 species
GAUGAACGCUGGCGGCGUGCCUAAUACAUGCAAGUCGAGCGAACAGAUGAGAAGCUUGCUUCUCUGAUGUUAGCGGCGGACGGGUGAGUAACACGUGGGUAACCUACCUAUAAGACUGGGAUAACUCCGGGAAACCGGGGCUAAUACCGGAUAAUAUUUUGAACCGCAUGGUUCAAUAGUGAAAGACGGUUUCGGCUGCCACUUAUAGAUGGACCCGCGCCGUAUUAGCUAGUUGGUAAGGUAACGGCUUACCAAGGCGACGAUACGUAGCCGACCUGAGAGGGUGAUCGGCCACACUGGAACUGAGACACGGUCCAGACUCCUACGGGAGGCAGCAGUAGGGAAUCUUCCGCAAUGGGCGAAAGCCUGACGGAGCAACGCCGCGUGAGCGAUGAAGGUCUUCGGAUCGUAAAACUCUGUUGUUAGGGAAGAACAAAUUUGUUAGUAACUGAACAAGUCUUGACGGUACCUAACCAGAAAGCCACGGUUAACUACGUGCCAGCCGCCGCUGUAA